AACGUAGGAGGCGAGCGUUAUUCGGAUUUACUGGGCGUAAAGCGCGUGCAGGCGGUUCGAUAAGUUGGAUGUGAAAGCUCCUGGCUCAACUGGGAGAGGUCGUUCAAUACUGUCGGACUAGAGGAUGAGAGAGGGAGGUGGAAUUCCGGGUGUAGCGGUGGAAUGCGCAGAUAUCCGGAGGAACACCAGUGGCGAAAGCGGCCUCCUGGACCAUUCCUGACACUCAGACGCGAAAGCUAGGGUAGCAAACGGG
rnacentral:rRNA from 1 species